rnacentral:rRNA from 1 species
UACGUAGGGUGCAAGCGUUGUCCGGAAUUACUGGGCGUAAAGCGUGCGCAGGCGGUGAUGUAAGACAGAUGUGAAAUCCCCGGGCUCAACCUGGGAACUGCAUUUGUGACUGCAUCGCUGGAGUGCGGCAGAGGGGGGAUGGAAUUCCGCGUGUAGCAGUGAAAUGCGUAGAUAUGCGGAGGAACACCGAUGGCGAAGGCAAUCCCCUGGGCCUGCACUGACGCUCAUGCACGAAAAGCGUGGGGAGCAAACAGG